AAGAUGCUUAUUUAACAGGUGGAAUAUUCUUUAUAUGAAAUUUCAGCUAAAGACACUUUCUGGACCUGGUCUGAAAGGUCAUUUGUCAAAAAAGCUUAGGGAUAUUCUGUGAAAUGGUGAGUGGUCUCCUGGAAAGGUCUCAUUGUAUUUGAACAAUAGUCUUCCCUCUAAAUUACAACACCUCUGGGUUUUGUCUUUACACCUCUGUCUUUGUCAUCACCUACCAUGAAUAGUCACCUUGGUUUUGCAAAUGGGGAGGGGGUAUCAUCUUUUUGCCUGUUUUCACUGUAUUUUUGUAUAUUGGUGUUGCCGAAAGAACUUUUUCUUUCAGUUUAAUUCUUUGAGGCAUGUAGGACCAAUAAGAUUGAGAAUUCUAUUGGUGGAAUUUAGGGAAGUCCUUAAAAUGCUAGUUGACAAUCAAGGAACAGUAUGAUUUAUAUCAAUAAGAACCAAAAGAAUUAGGUUUGAUCAAUCAUUUAAGCCAAGGAGGAAUACUUGCAUUUAGAACAAUGCAAAACUUUGUCUAAAAUGAAUUAAAUUGACCCACCUGUAAAAUA
rnacentral:lncRNA from 1 species